AGUCCUUUAAUUAUUUAAUCUGCAAAUGCAAACCCAGUUGAUUUUUUUUUUUUUUUUUUUUAAUUCAGACCCAAAGGAGGAUGAAAGAUUGUUUCUGGAAUGUAAGUGUAAGAAGUGAUACUUGUAGGAAAUAGGUGAUAAGACAUGGUAAGAAAUCCUUGGAAAACCAGUGUUACUGAUGGCAAUAAGAGUGCACAGGCCUUCCAGCGCACUGCACUGCAGGUUUUUUCUCCAUAUCUGUGCAUAUUAAUGAAUUUUGUAUCAGUUUGAAUAUAUAUCAUUUGGUGCCACAGUGCAAAAGUGUGGAAAACCAGAAAUAAGAAGAUUCUCUAUGGAAAAGGUAGUGAAUCU
rnacentral:lncRNA from 1 species